rnacentral:rRNA from 1 species
GCAUAUCAAUAAGCGGAGGAAAAGAAACCCAACAGGGGAUUGCCUCAGUAACGGCGAAGUGAAGCGGCAACAGCUCAAAUUUGAAAUCUGGCCUUAUGGUCCGAGUUGUAAUUUGUAGAGGAUGCUUUUGGCAAGGUGCCUUCCGAGUUCCCUGGAACGGGACGCCAUAGAGGGUGAGAGCCCCGUCUGGUUGGAUGCCGAGCCUCUGUAAAGCUCCUUCGACGAGUCGAGUAGUUUGGGAAUGCUGCUCAAAAUGGGAGGUAUAUGUCUUCUAAAGCUAAAUAUUGGCCAGAGACCGAUAGCGCACAAGUAGAGUGAUCGAAAGAUGAAAAGCACUUUGAAAAGAGGGUUAAAUAGUACGUGAAAUUGUUGAAAGGGAAGCGCUUGUGACCAGACUUGGGCUCGGUGAAUCAUCCAGUGUUCUCACUGGUGCACUUUGCCUGUCCAGGCCAGCAUCAGUUCGUCGCGGGGGAUAAAAGCUUCGGGAAUGUGGCUCCCUCGGGAGUGUUAUAGCCCGUUGCAUAAUACCCUGUGGUGGACUGAGGUUCGCGCUCCGCAAGGAUGCUGGCGUAAUGGUCAUCAGCGACCCGUCUUGAAACACGGACCAAGGAGUCGUCUUCGUAUGCGAGUGUUCGGGUGUCAAACCCCUACGCGUAAUGAAAGUGAACGCAGGUGAGAGCUUCGGCGCAUCAUCGACCGAUCCUGAUGUUCUCGGAUGGAUUUGAGUAAGAGCAUACGGGGCCGGACCCGAAAGAAGGUGAACUAUGCCUGUAUAGGGUGAAGCCAGAGGAAACUCUGGUGGAGGCUCGCAGCGGUUCUGACGUGCAAAUCGAUCGUCAAAUAUGGGCAUGGGGGGCGAAAGACUAAUCGAACCUUCUAGUAGCUGGGUUUCCGCGA